GUGUCAGCCGCCGCGGUAAUACGGAGGGUGCAAGCGUUGUCCGGAUUUAUUGGGUUUAAAGGGUGCGUAGGCGGCCUUAUAAGUCAGUGGUGAAAGCCCACAGCUCAACUGUGGAACUGCCAUUGAUACUGUAAGGCUUGAGUACAGACGAGGUAGGCGGAAUUGAUGGUGUAGCGGUGAAAUGCAUAGAUACCAUCAAGAACACCGAUUGCGUAGGCAGCUUACUAGGCUGUAACUGACGCUGAGGCACGAAAGCGUGGGGAGCGAACAGGAUUAGAAACCCCAGUAGUCC
rnacentral:rRNA from 1 species